rnacentral:rRNA from 1 species
AAUAUCUAAACGGAGAAAUUCAAUACUACCCAAAAAGUAGUGUGCACUUUUCUCUUAGUAAGACGUCGUGAUCCAUUAGAAAUUGAUGCAUGCCAAAUGUAUAGUGGGUCAUCAAUAGACCAGUGUGAAGUUUAUCGGAACAAAUGGCAUAAUCUUUUACGGUUGUGUGUAUUGUCUGGUAAGCAUGCUGUGUUCUGUAAUGACUGUCUGAUGGAUUUUAAAGGCAAUAUCAUUGAUGUUACGGCAUCAACCACGCAAGUGGUAUUAGAUAUUUGUCUGAUCAACGGCGGUUAAAUUUGGGAUACCUUUUGGACCCGUCUUGAAACACGGACCAAGGAGUCUAUCUAGUAUGCGAGUAAAUGGAUAGUUUAGUGAAAUCUAUUUACGUAAUAAACUUGACUGUUUUYCAGGGAAUWMCAAUAAWKGGYUUUUUGUCAUUURUCUUCCAUCCCGGGGUAUUUUCAUCAACAUAUGCCGUUAAAAAGUAUAUGGAAAAUAUACCAUGAGCACACUGGAUACGACCCGAAAGAUGGUGAACUAUGCCUGAUCAGGUCGAAGUCAGGGGAAACCCUGAUGGAGGACCGAAGCAGUUCUGACGUGCAAAUCG